rnacentral:rRNA from 1 species
UACGUAGGGUGCGAGCGUUAAUCGGAAUUACUGGGCGUAAAGGGCGCGUAGGCGGUGUGUCAAGUCAGGCGUGAAAGCCCCGGGCUCAACCUGGGAACGGCGCUUGAGACUGGCACGCUCGAGUUCGGGAGAGGAUGGUGGAAUUCCCAGUGUAGAGGUGAAAUUCGUAGAUAUUGGGAAGAACACCGAUGGCGAAGGCAGCCAUCUGGACCGACACUGACGCUGAGGCGCGAAAGCGUGGGGAGCAAACAGG